rnacentral:rRNA from 1 species
AUGUGGCAAGCCAUGGAUCUCACGAUGCGCAAUCUGAUGUCUAACACCGAUGGAAGGAACGGGCCUCCGAGCAACGAUCACCAGUGCCCACUUGGGACCUACCCUAAUUGCCAAGGGAUGUCCCAGAACACUCAAGAAGCAGCUGAAGAUGUUGGAGGAAACUAG